rnacentral:misc_RNA from 1 species
GAUGAAGAACGCAGUGAAAUGCGAUAAGUAAUGUGAAUUGCAGAAUUCAGUGAAUCAUCGAAUCUUUGAACGCACAUUGCGCCCCUUGGUAUUCCGGGGGGCAUGCCUGUCCGAGCGUCAUUGCUGCCCUCAAGCACGGCUUGUGUGUUGGGCCCCGUCCUCCGAUCCCGGGGGACGGGCCCGAAAGGCAGCGGCGGCACCGCGUCCGGUCCUCGAGCGUAUGGGGCUUUGUCACCCGCUCUGUAGGCCCGGCCGGCGCUUGCCGAUCAACCCAAAUUUUUAUCCAGGUUGACCUCGGAUCAGGUAGGGAUACCCGCUGAACUUAAGCAUAUCAAUAAGCGGAGGA